rnacentral:lncRNA from 1 species
GGUGCUCAAUUGCCAAAAAGUUCAAAGGAACAAAACAACAGGUGAUAAUCUUGCUGCAUUGACUUUCCCCGACGGACAUCAGAUAACUAUUCAAUCAUAAGAGCACUAUAACAUCCAACCAACAAGAGCACAAAGAAUUCAUCUCAUCCAAAGUCCUACACAAAACUCAACUGAUUACCUCUCAUAUAUAAAGGACAACAAAUUUCACAAACUACAGUUUAUGUCGCAGAGUAUCAAUGUCAUCCGUCACCAUUUUCAUGCUGUCUUCAUUCAUCCAGUCAUAACAAACAUUACAUCUUGAGUUGCACCAAGCUUUUCUUCUUCCUGUGUCAUGACGUUUAUUUGUAUAUCCCAUGUAUAAUUGGAAGCAAGGGGUACAAUCCUAUACUUUCUCCUAGUCAUAUCUCAAAUGGUCAUUUAGGAUACUUUUUCAUUGCUAUGUACUUUAUGAAUUUUUUUCACAUGCCACAAAUUCUUGCUCCGUGAUUAUAACUUGCACCAUUAUGUGUUCUGCCAAAAUCAACUGAGCAGCAUAAAUCAGCGCCAUGCGUAUAUCAACUCCAGUUACUAGUGAUGCUAAAAGCUUGCUGUCUAGUGUUAAUAUGAAUAUCCAGACUCCUAUAAAAUCACAAAUAAGCAAAAACCUCCAUUUCAUGUUAUUCCCAUGAUUUUGUAAGAAUUACCCCCUUCCACAAUUUUUUAGUAAGAUUGUCUCCAUACACCCCCUCGAGUCUGCUUAUAGACUCAUAGUUCAUGCUACUAAGAGUAAGAUGCAAACCAGAACCACCAACCAUCAAUAUACAUAGGAAAGCCACUAUAGCUUAAAUGUAAGCAUUGUGUUCAAUCAUAUAGUGUCAUGCAUGGAGGGUGCAUGCCAUUAGAUGAGAUGCUAGAGAUUCUACAUGAAACAAUAACAGGGUCUAUACCAAAAUCCAAUGAUCCUGUUUCCAUUUCAGUUUCAACCAAGCUAAAUGAAUUGCACUUCAACUAUCAGAGUUUGAAGCAAAAAUUUGAUUUAAAAAUACCUAGUUAUAGACAUGAUCUUAGUGUCUGUUGUUAGUUUAGUAUCAUCAGGUGCAUUACAUAUAGUUUCAAUGAUCAUAUUUAAGACCCAAACAAAGAAGAAAAAUAUGAAAAAUAAUACCAGUUAAAAAUUUAGACUUUAAUAGAAUAUUAAAAUUAAAUAUGCUAUCUGAUAGAAGCAUAUAACCCAAAGGUCGUUUUUCUGAUUGCAAUAUGUAAGGUCUACUGCUCAAAUAAAUGGCUGCCUUGAGUUGCCUGGUUGGGGUUGUCCCGCAGCCACACAAGUGCCUGCCUUAAUAUCUUGCAUCAUAUUUCAGAAUGGAAAAUUGAGAUUGAUAUAUAAAUUAGGAUUGAAUGUUGUCAAGUUGGUACUUCCGAUCAAUGCAUUUGAUAUACAAUGCUUUAUUUUUUGAAUUAUAAUUGUCCUUUUAGAAAUUCAUUUCUAUUUAUUAUUUUGAGAGGGUGGGCCUUGGUGCAACCAUAAGGUUGCUCAAUUGUGACUUGGGUGUAAUGGGUUCGAAACACAAAAACAGCCUCUCUGCAUAUGAAGGUGAGGCUGCGUACUUCAGACCCUCCAUAGACUCCGCAAUGGCAGAAGCCUCAUGCAUGACACAUCCUGUUUGCUUCUAUUUAUUCUUUUUGGAUUUAUCUUUUUAAGGCUGCCAUCAUUUUUGGGGCCCCACCUAGGCACUAAGAAGCCCUCAAGUUACUCAUCUACCACCAAGCCUUCAAAAAUAUUGGCAAGAUUUACAAAAUCCUGAUUAGUUUGAAUCAAGGUUCAUUUUCUCGAUAUCGGAUCCCAUAUUGACGCCAACCUAUUAUUGUGCCGGUACAUGGCUGAUUCGGCGUACCGAGUGUAAUAUGCCCCCAUACCACGAACCGGUACAGUAUGCCUUCUGCCAUCUGGUUCGAUACAGUACAACAAACCUUGGUUUGAAUCAAUAAUAAUACCACAGAUUAUAUAUUUCAGUAAUUGCCCUACAUCACAAAUAUACAUGCCUACAAAAUCUAAUGAAAAUUCACAAAAGCCAAGUGGACCAUUGUGAAAAAUACUUUUUAGACAUUAAAUUUCUCGCCCAAUAGCAAGCUUAACUCAAAAGGCCUGACCUCAAAAGCUAAGUCUUUCCUUUUGGCCUAAAUAUCAGUUUUGGCACACAUAUACAAUAAAAAUUGUCCCAUUAGUUUCAAGUCAGAACUCCAGCAAAUAUAAUGGUUUUAGAUUUUUUUUUCCUAGUUUCAGAGUUCUUAAUGAAACUGAAAAACAUAAAGUAUUAUCAUAGAGUUUGAUAACUCGGGCUGCAGACUCAUAGAUGAUGGAGGAACCACCGGAAAAUGAACAUGUGGCAUAAUGGGUUAUGGAAUCUAGAAACACCCCAGCACCAAAAUCGAUAUGUAUGAUAAUGCCUAGAAGCCUAGGAGAUAUUGGAUUGAGCCACUAUGAUUUGCUGACAACAAAACAGAUGGUUGUAAAAUUUAGCAAAUGACUGGUGAGGUAAGCCAUACACGGGCAUUUUCGCAUAAAGGGCUUAAGGGUGACAUCAAGUACAAUGAUGGAAACCAACAGGAGAAGAGAUAAUUUUAGACAAGAAGUCUCCAAAAUUUUCAAGAAAAUGCAGAACAACUAAUUCAUGCCCCAACACCAAAAAGCUUAUGAAGCAAGUUUUAGAGUCACUAUAAUAUCCUAUUACGAAAUUAAAUUAAACAUGCAACAGCAAAUUGACACCUAAUGCAUGAGAUUCAAUUAUAAGGGCUGCUUGAAUCAAACCCAUGUGGAAACUAUAUAAUACAAAUGCAUAGAGUUAUCAAAAAAUCAUGAGGAUAAACAACGCAUCAAAUAUAUGCAUGCUCUAAAAUACAUACACAAAAUAUAGAUCGUUGCAUUGACUACAUUAACUAGCUCAUGCAAGUAAUAUCUCUGCUUAAACUAAUAAACUCAUAUAAUCAGUGUACAUCAUUUCUGUUUUUG